ACUGAUCGCGCGGGUCCACGCUUCCCUGGCCCGCUCCCAGCCGCUGCCGUCCACGAAACCCACACGCGGAUCUCGUACUCGCGUUUGUUACCAAGUCCUCCAUCCCGGUUCUCCUCGUCCCCCAUCUCUCCCUCUACCCUCAUCCUCUCGCUCUGCCUCCGGCGAUGGAUCUUCAUCGACGAAACCUACUUGGCCGCGGGCGUGCCAGCCGGAGACAUGUACGAAGCCGGCACGUAUGUGGUGGUCGACGUAGGCAACCCGCUUCUCUGUAUUAGUUGUCUCUGUGCUUGAAUCAGACUGUCCGAUCGACGCAAUCAAUAUAGGGCAUUGAUUCUUCUCCUGCCUUCCCAGCUACCCACCGCCUGGUGAAUUUCUUCCUAAUUCCUCUUCACUUGCAUAGGCAGGCCUUUCCCUUGGUGCUCGGCAAGCCCCUGCAUGUUUACAGGGAGUAUGAAUCAAGGAUCUCUUCAAACGAUGAACUGCCGAAGUUUUGGAGAUGCAGUUUAGGAAUGAUCCUUGAUGCUUGAGUUUGGACACCUUAACCGACGAUGAACUCUCUAGAUGGAAGCUCUCGAUGGAUGGAAGAAGAUGACCCGUGGGACUUCAACUCUUUCCUGUCCGGUCCUGGCACGCCUCGCUGGCCGGCCGCAGCAGGUGCAAGGAGCCCGGCCAUCGGUCGAUCUACCGGUUGGAGCUAAUGCUGUGGCUACACAUAUCGCCCUGCCGGUUAGGGUACAGAAGUAAAGCUAUCAUGGUCUUAUGGCACGAUUUCUCCCAAGAUUGCUGGCAUGUAUAUUUUACUCAAAAAGAAGUUUACACUAUAUUUAUAGAUGGAGGUUAGUGACAAGUUAACCGAGAAUCUCAACAAUGAAAAAUCUUGGUUCUCUAGAUGCAAGCGAAUACUAUGGAUAGGGCUGGAUGGAAUAAGACGACCCGCGAGACCUUCACUACAUCUUCGUUCGCAGCUCGCCUCACCGGCUGGCCGCAGCAGCAGAUCAAUCUACCGGUUGGAGAUAAUGGUGUGGCUACGUCCUGCUGGUUGGGGUGUAGUUGGUGUUGACCAAAUUGGAGACAACCUUUUGCACAAGAACGCUAGGCAUCAUGGUUUUCCGGUAUAUCUAGAUGCAUAUACGCGAUGCCGUGUUGAGCUUACCGGGGUAAUUGUGUAUCGGUGCCCAAAAAAAUGAUCUCAUGCUUGUGAUUAUGGAGCUGGCCCGUGAGGCUAUGUUAAAGGGGUGUUGAUGGACGACAAUCCAACUAUGAAAAAUUGACAUCACGAGCAUGAAAAGUUCAGAUCUGCAGCCACAAGCCCAGAAGCGAACGAGACGUAGACCAAGAAACAUGGACAAUCCUGAGGGCGUUGGAGCUGGAGCAGGCGGCGGCGGAGCUGGAGCAGGCGGAGGCGGUGGUGACGGCGGCGAGGGGGACGUCCCAGACGUUCGUUUUCUGUGGGGAUCAAAGAAGGUGAAUGUGGGUAACAGGUCUGAGGACUGGAAGAAAAACAACCUCAACUCGCCACUCAACAGGAACAUCACAUUUGAAGAGAAGGAGCUUAUGUUUGUCAACCUUAUGGAAUCAUUGGGCUUCGCCAAAGAAGUAUAAAUUUUCCUCAGUUUGUGCAUAUACGCAUUUCAUUCUAGCCUUUGGCCUGGUUCUGUGGUAUUGAAACAAAGAUCAAUUACCGAGUACCUCAUAGACUGAAUAGGCAGGGUCCUGAGAUUAAUGCACUGAAUGCUCAUGCAUGUGUGUUAAUCCGCGCCAUGGGCCGGAAGCGACGUCGUUGCUUAUUCCUUAUGGUAAUGCUGUUUGGACUAGCCCAAGUACUGAAGAUUGCCAAGUGCUCCAAUGUUCAAGUUCCUCAACAGUUUCGUAACCCCUCCCAGCUAAGAGGUGAUCUCAAGUCAUGCCAGGAAGAGAUCGAGCUGAUUGCAGCACAGCUUCAAAAUGUGAUUCAGCAGAUUGAGGAUCUUCACCAUGAAGCUGUGAUGAUUCCUGACGUGUUCCGGAAGCCACUGGAACUUCCAAAAUCCAUGGGCAAGAAGUGAUUUGUUCUUCUGUGUGAGAACCAACUUAUUUUUAAUAUGUUCUGCUAUAGUACUACUUGCAUUAGAGCUGUAGCGGAAUCAUCCAUAGGCAAGAAGAAGUGAUUUGUUUUUCUGCGUGAGCACCAACUUAUUUUCAAUAUAAAGUCUGAAGCAAUCACAGAACUGCUAUAGUACUACUUGUAUUAAAGCUGUAGUGGAAUCUCCUUUUGUCUACUGUAAUUGGAAGUCAGUAAUUGGAAAGUGACCAUUCAGAUGGUUA